CGGGUAUCGCUCUCCGAACGGAAGGAAGCGCGGCCACAGGACCCCAAAUACACCCACGCGGUGCACAUGGGACAUGCGGUGCACCACUGCUCAUUUCUGAUGCUGGAAAUAGAACAUGAAAUCUCUCUGUGUUGAAAAAAGCUCUCUCCUUCUUCAAACCCUAACAAGUUUUGAAUUCUACACAUUGCUCCGCGUGCUCCAGAGACCCGCAGCGGUGCUAGAAAGCCGGCCUCGGCAGCUCUCCUCUCGCAGGUAUGCGCUUUGCUAUGAGGCAGGAGAGUGGGGCAGGGAGGAUGAGGCACCCUGACAAGCAGCACUCCGAAACGCCAUUCCUCAAAUAGUUAGGAACCAGCCACUUCCCAAGCAGGUUAUGCCCGAGACAGCCGUGCCUCCCAAGUGUCACUCGCACACAAAUCACUCUCCACAGCCGCCCAAGGAGGAAUUCACCCUCCAACCCCGCUCGCCUCUUUCAGCUUUACAUGCUGCCAACUCCACCGGCUCUACCAAACACACUACCAAGGCCGGAUGCCCACCACAGGCCGCUGCCGGACAGCGGCUGCAGGAUGCCCCGACGGCGACGCACUGCCACGUUGGUCAUCCAACGUCACCUGCCCUGGGGACUCUGCCUCCCAGCAGUGACACCCUGCGAGCGUUUCGUGCCGGGGAGGUCAAGGCCUGCGGGAGGCUCACGCUGGCAGGGCGCGGGGAUGCGGCACCCCAGGAGUGCCGGCCCUUGGGAGUGCUGCGCUGGCCUUCCGAGGCUGCAAGGCACCAAAGUUGGAUCUGCAAGUGAUUAAACAGCGCUCCGCAGCCAUUGUCUCUGCACUGCCGAAAUAAAAACGCAACCCACAGCAAACCCCUGCGCUUGCAUCCCA